UACGAAGGUGGCAAGCGUUGUUCGGAUUUACUGGGCGUACAGGGAGCGUAGGCGGUUGGAUAAGCCCUCCGUGAAAUCUCCAGGCUUAACCUGGAAAGUGCAGAGGGGACUGUUCAGCUAGAGGAUGGGAGAGGAGCGCGGAAUUCCCGGUGUAGCGGUGAAAUGCGUAGAGAUCGGGAGGAACACCGGGUGGCGAAGGCGGCGUCCUGGACCAACACUGACACUGAGGAGCGAAAGCCAGGGGAGCAAACGGG
rnacentral:rRNA from 1 species